GAAAAUCAGUAUCCUUUAAUGGGAAGAAUUCAAGUUUCUGCAUAGCUAUUUCUUUUUGUGAUGGGGCAACAUGAUAUAUUCAAUCCUCUGCAUUUUUUCUGGCUAAGACUCUAUGAAUAAAGUACUCAAUCCUCUGUUCUUCCGUGUGAGGACAAUAUGGCUACGAAUAUUUAAACCUCUGCGGCUCCACGUGGUACCAAAAUCUACCGUCAAUUCGAGGAGGUAAGUAUUUCAUCUCAACUAUGUUGCACUUGUCUGUGUAUUGUUAUAUUUUGACAUUGGUCUAUUAGCAAUGGGUAAGUUUUUUUUCUUCUACUUAUGUAAUUGUCUUGAAAAUGUUAGGUCAUUCAAGAAUAAAUUAAUGUCUGUUUGUCUCACUGUGUUCUAACUAUAUUUUUAGGUGAUUGAUUCUUAACAGGGAAGUAUUGCAGAAAUCCAGUGUAUAUAUGAGAUCUUUCCCACGUUUGAUCAGAUAAGUGUUCUAACUAUUCAACUAUUAGCCUGUCUUUCCAGCUUCAUAAGGCCAAGAACUGGAACUAUGUACAUGAUCUAUCUCAGGUUCGACUUCUCUCUAUCUUCCUUGGUGUCUAAUACUGUAGUAUUAUUGUUUGCGUUUGAUUGUCUUAGUUGAAUUCUACAUCUGCUUGAUCUUAAGAAAGACAAUUCCAUAUUUGAUGAAGUUUUCAUCUCUCUGUCCACAUUUCAGCAGUUUUUGCUUGGUUCUUUAGAGAACACCAUGAAGUCAUGUGAUUAAAUGCACUGUUCAUAAAGUUUCAUAUACUUGAGCGGAAUUCAAUGAGACACCGGUGGAGGCUGUUGGAUCAUGUGGAAAGUACUGUUUGCAGUCUCCUGAAGUGUGUCCGACUCUUUAUUUGAAAAUUGAGCUAUUGUAGAUCAGCAAAUUUUGAUCAGGAUUUAAAGGAGUCCACGCACGAGAAGUUAAGAGGCGGCUAUUGCAUCAUCUUCUUCUUCUUCAAAACCUGAGAACAAGCUAGUUGGCUUUUGCGGUGUACAAAGACAUUCUUGAAUUUGUGUCUUCAGGAAAACAAUGCUCUGGCUUUUUUCUCAGGUAUGCUCUUCUUCUUCGACUUUCAAUUUUCAGUACUUGGUAGCUGCGUAAUAAACACAAACAUAAACACACCCAACACAAAUGCUAACGCAAACAAGAAUGUAAAUACACACAAAAGCAAAAACUCAAUCACAAGAAUGUGAAUACACACAAAUAUAUACAAAUGUCCAAGACAAAACGCAAAAGUCCCAACACAAAUGUAAAUAUUAGGUGGAAGCAAACUGUUAAGUGCAAACAUAGGGACAAACCUAAAAUAUUGAAAGCAAAUUGAACCACUUUUUUCACACACGUACAUAAAUUAUUGAAUUUACUUAAAUACUUUAAUCAGUAGAUAUAUUUGUGACCUAUAUUGUUAAUAACAAGCACUCAUCAUACCUAAAUUACAAAGCAACCCUACGUGAAAUGCUUAACCAACUGGACCGAUUCA